rnacentral:lncRNA from 1 species
AUAAAACUGACCCAAAAAUGGCGAAAGUACCUAGAAUCAAAUUGGGUUCACAAGGUCUGGAAGUAUCAGCUCAAGGACUCGGUUGUAUGGGCAUGUCCGCCUUCUACGGCCCACCCAAACCCGACUCCGAUAUGAUCCAACUCAUCCACCACGCCGUGGAGAAUGGAGUCACUUUCCUCGACACCUCCGACAUGUAUGGCCCGCAUACCCAAUGAGGUCCUACUUGGAAAGGUAUUAUUCCGGCAGCCCGGAUUAUUUGUAGUGUUUUAAAUUUCUUGAUUGAUGGAAUUUCUGAGAAAAUUGAGUUCUGUUCUGUAGGCUUUGAAGGGAGGGAUUAGGGAGAAAGUUGAAUUGGCUACAAAGUUUGGAAUCAAGUUUGAUAAUGGAACUCUGGAAAUUCGGGGCGAUCCGGCUUAUGUUCGAGCCUCCUGCGAGGCGAGCUUGAAGCGGCUUGAUGUGGAUUAUAUUGAUCUCUAUUACCAGCACCGAAUUGAUACUCGGGUUCCCAUUGAAGUCACGGUAUAAUUUCUCAACAUCUAUGUGUUAAAUACUGUUCUGUCCCAAUUUAGAUGUCCCACGCUUGAACAUUUUUCAAAGCUCCAUGUAUCAAAGUAGAGAUAUUUAUUGGUUUGACAAUUCUUCCUCAAUGAAAAUGCUACAUAUAUUGGGCCAGUAUUACUUUGUGCUCGGAUUUCAGUACAUGCAGAAUACUCUUUGAUUAUGGGGUAGGUAAAUGUUUAAUAGCCAUUAUCAAAUCAAAAAAUUACCCGAGGGUGGCCUCUUGUUGUAGUUGUACUAAUUUCAUACCACCUGCUUACUCAAUAAUGUAGCAAUUGUUUGGUGUUAACUCAAGUAUGCACUCGAAAGAAAAUUGAUAUAAAAAAAUAUAGAAAAAGUUAAAAGGAAAAUGUUGAUAUUGGUAUUCACUUGUUGAAUGAUGAAAUGUGGUAUUAUCAUGACUAUCAAUUGCUAUGACUGAUUUCAUCUACCUGUGCCCUUGUAUUUGAUAUCUCUGAAAUUGCACUCUGACAAUGAAGAAAAAAUUCGAUGGGUUAACAUGUAACUCUAGAGCCUAUCAAACUGGCUGUUAAGUAAUCUCCGGUUAAUAGUGAUUAUACAUAAACUGCUCAGCUGCCAUUGGCCAUCGAGUAAUGCAGUAAGGAUUUUUACUUUGAUAUAUGCUAUGAAAUCCACAAUUUUGCUGAUAUCUUUCAUCUACAUUCUCAAUUUGGUUUCUAUGUCCUAGUUUUCAUUUUUCCUUUUCUGAGGGUGGUAGUUAUUAAUUUUCCCCCAUUCCAUUCAAAAUGUUUGUUUCCAAGAUGGGAGAACUCAAGAAACUGGUUGAAGAGGGUAAAAUAAAAUAUGUCGGUCUAUCUGAGGCCUCAUCUUCUACUAUCAGAAGAGCGCAUGCUGUUCAUCCAAUAACAGCUGUGCAGCUGGAGUGGUCUUUGUGGUCAAGAGAUGUGGAAGUCAAUAUAAUUCCUACUUGCAGGUUUGGCAUCUUUUAUGCUUAUAAUAUGUUCAGGAAGUAAUAACAAAUUCAGAAUCUAAGUUCACCCUCUUAUGAUUGUUCAGAGAAUUAGGCAUUGGGAUUGUUGCGUAUAGUCCUCUGGGACGAGGAUUCUUGUCUUCAGGUCCAAAGAUGGUUGAGAACUUGGCUAAUGAUGAUGCCCGAAAGGUUUGUUAUUUAAUAGAAUCAAUCUUAAUUACAUUCUUGGUUCUUUUUCAUGUAGUGGUCUUGUAGUUUGAAUUUGUACUGUGUUUCUUUGUUUUCAAUUAGGGUCUACCAAGGUUCCAAACAGAGAAUCUCGAGCAUAAUAAAAACUUGUAUGAUCGGGUGAAUGAAAUGGCAUUAAAGAAAGGGUGUACUCCAUCGCAGCUAGCAUUGGCUUGGGUUCAUCACCAGGGAAGCGAUGUGUGUCCCAUACCUGGAACCACCAAGAUUGAAAAUUUCAACCACAAUAUCGGAGCUUUAUCCGCAAAGCUAACAACUGAAGACAUGGCUGAACUUUUAGUCAUUGCUUCUGCUGAUGCUGUCAAGGGUGAGAGAUAUAAGCCCGGUUUUGCCACAUAUGAAACUUCAGAAACUCCACCCUUGUCCUCAUGGAAAACUGAAUGAAUACUGGGCGUGCUGCCUUUCGCUGCACUAUGUAACAAUCUGUCAGUCUUUGAGAACAUAGUAUGGAUGUAUGCUUUGAGAGUUUUUAAUAACUGUGAUUGCCAAUAGAAAGUGUAUCCUUUUUCCUUCCCUUUUUUCAUAGUAAGAUUAAUAAUCUGCCUUCCCUUGUACAAUAAAAUUUUGAGUGACAUGUUUCUAUAAUGUUGUGAAAUAUUAAUAAAGAUACUGAUUUUCAAAUAUUUUAACAUGUAUGAAAAUUUAAUAUAUUUUAUGUAUUUUUAUUUAUUAUUUAAGAAAAUUCAGUAGCUUAAUUUAUAUUUGAUUCGGGUUUUAACUUUUUUAAUUUUAUUUAAUUUUAAAUUUUAAUUAUUUUCCUUUUUCCAAUUAGUCGUAGGAUUUAUUUACAAAAAAAACGUUUAUUUUAUCAAUUGAUAUUAUUAUAUUUUAUUCUCUUUAUUAUUCUAUGUGAAUUUAAUGGUUUAUUGCAAGUCUUUGCACACAUGUUAUUGCAAGUCUCAUGGUUCAAUGGUUAAAAAAAAUUACUUAAAAGGCUUGGAUGCACGAGGUCUUGGGAUCCAUUCUUAUCAAACGCAAGAAUGUUAAAUUUUCGUCGAAUAAAAGUGCAAACUUGUUCUUAAUUAAAGAUAGUGACUUUAAUAUCAUUUCAUCCAAGCUUGUGAAAGAUUUAAACCUUCAACCCGAACUAAUUUCAUUUCCUUUUGAGAUUUAUUGGCUCAACAAUACCUCAAUCACAGUCUCACAUUGGUGUGUUGUGCCAAUUAAAUUUAAAAAGUAUACAAUUGAGGUGGUUUGUCAUGUUUUGUCUAUGGAUAUAGCACAUAUAUUUGCUUGGUUGGUUGUGGUUGCAUGAUUUUUAUGGUAAAUAUUUUGAGUCUGAAGAUGUUUAUAGCUUUAAUUAUGAAAAGAAGAAAAUUUGUUUGUUUCCUUGCCAAUCAAAUAUGCAUACUAUUGCAAAAUCUCUAAAGCUAAAAUUUGAAUUGGAUGAGUAUGAUAUUGAUGGUCGUGAAUAGGUAGAGUACUUGAUUACGUAUUGUAAUUUUCAAAAGCUCGUUGUUACACCACAAAUUGAAGAAACUCUAUAUUUGGAAGCUCACAAGGGUAUUGUUUUGAAUGAAAGACAACAUGUGAUUGAAGUUAUUACAGUUGAAGAUUCACACGUCCUUGUUAAGUCACCUAUUAUCGAGAAGAGUAUGAAAGUCCAAGGAUGAGGAUACUACAACAGACAGUAUUGGUUCAGAAUUUGUCCCAAUGCAGGUGUUCGAGGACAUUGAAAUCAUUAAUUUUGUUGUUCUUGAAGAUUUCUUUGUCAUGCGGGUAAUUUGGAAAAUGUUUGGUAUUUUUUCAUUUAUUUUCAAGAUUAUCGUUGAAGAAGAAAAGGCAUGAAUUAUUGAUCCCACAAAGAUUGAAGAUUCGUUCUUGGUAUUUGAUACUCGCUUGCUUUAAAAUUCGAGAAUGAAUUUUUUCUAAGGAGAGAUUGAUGAAGUGGAAAAUAUCAAUAAAGAUACGGAAUUUUAUAUAUUUUAGCAUGUAUGGAAAUUUAAUAUAUUUUGUGUAUUUUUAUUUAUUACUUAGAAACAUUCAGUAGUUUAAUUAAUAUUUGGCACGUGUAUGUUUUUGAUUUUAGCUUUUCUAAUUUUAUUUAAUUUUAGAUUUUAAUUAUUUUUCUUUUUCUAAUUAAUCAUACGAAAGUAGUUUAGUAUUAUAAAUAUGCUUUUGGGGUUUAUUUACAAAACAAAUGUUUAUUUUAUCUAAUAAGAUUAUUAUCUUUGUUCUCUUCGUAAAUUCAUUUUUUUUUUUUUUAUGAAUUUAAGUAUUUAUUUUACGUUUAAACUUUAAACCUUCAAAUUAUGCUAGAGUUAAAUCAUAAAUGGGUUACAAUUUAACCACUUUUCUGAGUCAUGUUGUAAACUAUCUUUCAGUGAGAGGAAGAGAAAGAGAAUCAAUUUCUCUUGUUCCUUUUUCAACUGGCCUUUUCUUUUGUAUAGACAAGUUAAGGUUGGAAUACUUGUUUGGUAAAUUAUAUAUGGAAUUUCAUUAUUUAAGUUUCAAUGAAUACUAUGUAGAAAUUAUUUCCUCCAUUUAAAACUUAUAGAUGCAUUUUUUUUAUUUUUUACUUUUCAAAAUUAGAGAUACACUUCUCCUUUUAAAAACAAAAUAAUACCAAGUUAUUACAUUUGUUCUUAAUCGAUUGACUAUUAUUAUGCCAUAGAUACUAUUUGGAAUAAAUUUAGUUUCAUUAAAGUUAUCAUUUUAUAAAUAUAUUUCUAAUUUUACAACAGUAGUAAAAGAUUAGCUCAACAUAUUCUAGGGCAUAUCUUUGACAAUUAAAGCUAAUCAUAAUCUAAACUAAAAUUAUGUUGGAAAGAGGCUUGGAGAUGUUAUUAGUGAAGUAUGAUCUAACUUUUAAUUCAUAGAUGAUUAUAAAGUUACCUAAAAGGUAAUUGGGUGCCGGUAGGUCCGGAACGGAGGCAUAAUCAUAUUUUGAUUUCCGCUACGAAUAAUUUAGCAAAAGUAUGGAGGGAUUAUAUUUUCGGAUGAAUUAGGGUUACUUAUGUUAUUGUGUAAGGAGGGGAUACUGCAAUGCAAAUGUAUAAUGUACGAACUUUAUAAGAAAUAGUAAAAUUGUUAGUCGCCGAUCAUGGACUAGCCUAAACGUUUUGAGUGAAUGAAAUAUGUGGCAUGUUGAGGCCUACAAACCAGGGCAGGACAUACCUUGGGAGGUCCAACUUGGGGCCUUAUUGCCUUGGAGAGUAAGGACCUUUUUUUAAGAGUCCUUCUGCACAGACCGGUUUAUUGGACAGAAAAAUUAGACAUUUUCAAUUAUUUUUUUUAUUAUUAUGACUCCCAAUCCAUCCAAUCCCAUGCCAGGAGCCAGCCCAUGUGGUGAUGAUUUGCAUGCAAAUUGUAAAGCCCUUUCUUUUCUAAAAGUCUAGAUAUGCUCAUUACAUAUUAUUGUACCUAUCAUUAUAUUAUAUAUUACUAUUUAUGUAAUGUUGUCUAUAAAAUAUUAAGUAUUAAUAAAAAAUUUAAGCAACUAACUUACUAAUAUUAAAUAAACUAAUUAGUAUAUUAAUAUUAAAAUUUAAUUAACUAACUUAUUAAUAUUAAAUAGACUAACUAGUGUAAUAAUAUUAAAAUUUAAUCAACUAAAUAAACUACCUAAUGUAUUAACAAGAAAAUCACGAAUGAAUAAUUAAAAUUUUGAACUUUAUUGAUGUAUUAAUUAAAAUUAAUAUAUUACAACUUAUAAAUUACAAUAAUAAAUAAGUAAGAAUUUAUAAUUUAUUGAAUUAUUGAUGAAUAAUUAUAAAUUUAUUUUAUUUUUAUAAUUUUCUUUUGGAUUUUUGUUUGUUUCAUCAAAGUGUAGUCUUUAUUUCACAUUGUGCCACAAUUAAACAAAUAACAAAAUUAAUUUGUCUGUUUGAUAAUUUUGCAGACGAUGUUGGCAAGGUGUGGGGGCCUUGGGCCUUACGACCUUGGUGCUCACAGUUCACAAGACAAUAUUUGUUUGUUUUGUUUUGUUUUUUUAAAUAAAUGGGCCUGCCUGCAUGGAAGAUAAAAAUUUUAAUUUUGGGCCCAAAAGUCCAAAACUAAAAACAGAAAAAACUGAUUUGUAAACAACGUAAGCUCUGACGUUGUAACGAAACAAAAAUACAGUAUAUCUUUCUCUCUCCUCCUUUUGACUUCGCUGGCCUACCUACUACCAUCAUCGUCUACCUCAAAAGUGUAGCAACUUCAUAUAUAUAUAUAUAUAUAUAUAUAUACAGCAAAUCACCAACACUUCCUCCAUUACUAGUACCCUUUUAGAGGAGACAUAAUUCUGACCCAAAAAUGGCGAAAGUACCUAGAAUCAAAUUGGGUUCACAAGGCCUGGAAGUAUCAGCUCAAGGACUUGGUUGUAUGGGCAUGUCGGCCUUCUACGGCCCACCCAAACCUGACUCUGAUAUGAUCCAACUCAUCCAUCACGCCGUCCAAAGCGGCGUCACUUUUCUCGACACCUCCGACAUGUAUGGCCCGCAUACCAACGAGAUCUUAC